GGCGAACGGGUGAGUAAUGCAUCGGAACGUGCCCAUCUGUGGGGGAUAGCUCGGCGAAAGCCGGAUUAAUACCGCAUACGAUCUAUGGAUGAAAGCGGGGGACCUUCGGGCCUCGCGCAGAUGGAGCGGCCGACGUUAGAUUAGGUAGUUGGUGGGGUAAAGGCUCACCAAGCCGACGAUCUAUAGCUGGUCUGAGAGGACGAUCAGCCACACUGGGACUGAGACACGGCCCAGACUCCUACGGGAGGCAGCAGUGGGGAAUUUUGGACAAUGGGCGAAAGCCUGAUCCAGCAAUACCGCGUGCAGGAAGAAGGCCCUCGGGUUGUAAACUGCUUUUGUACGGGACGAAAAGGUCCUGGCUAAUAUCUGGGGCUGAUGACGGUACCGUAAGAAUAAGCACCGGCUAACUACGUGCCAGCAGCCGCGGUAAUACGUAGGGUGCAAGCGUUAAUCGGAAUUACUGGGCGUAAAGCGUGC
rnacentral:rRNA from 1 species